CAGUCGCCGCGGUAAUACGGAGGGUGCAAGCGUUACUCGGAAUUACUGGGCGAAAAGCGUGCGCAGGCGGUUUGUUAAGACAGAUGUGAAAUCCCCGGGCUCAACCUGGGAACUGCAUUUGUAACUGGCAAGCUAGAGUGUGGCAGAGGGGGGUGGAAUUCCGCGUGUAGCAGUGAAAUGCGUAGAUAUGCGGAGGAACACCGAUGGCGAAGGCAGCCCCCUGGGCCAACACUGACGCUCAUGCACGAAAGCGUGGGGAGCAAACAGGAUUAGAUACCCCAGUAGUCCCUGUCUCUUAUAC
rnacentral:rRNA from 1 species